GGUUGAGAAGCACUUCUCUGAAACAUCAUUUCAAAAUAUGCGCUCAUGUUUGUUUACGCGUUAUUCGCCAUCGUCUCUUUGUGCGUAACAAGACGCACAGUUAAACACGAGACCGCUGGCUUAUUCAACCAUACAGUAAGUGCUUAACUGUGAACGUAAGAAGAAAGUCCAUGGUGUUGCGCUGGAGUGGAAUACGGUUAUCGGGGUCCCUCACUCACUCUCUCUCGCGCGCGCGUCCGCGGCUCUCAGAGGAAGUGCUGCUUGUGCUGAAAGAACGGCUGUGAGCGCAACACACAAGGACGCAGCGCGAGAGAGGACAGCACGAGCAAAGAGGUUCACCUGUAAUCCACGCUGCUCACUCGCCGAUGUGCGAAUAGUGUGAGAGCAUCCAGAAGAGAUAUUCUACACCACGCGCAUACCCAUGCUUGGGAUUUGGCUUUCUUUUUCUUCGCUAAUGCAAAAGGAAAUAUGCAGCGAAGCCUCACACUGCUCUGCACCAGUUUUCUGGGAUUGUGCUUCGGUUCCAGUUUCCCAAGUAAUAUCAACAUAGGAGGAUUAUUCCCAACCGAAUCACACGAAUAUGAAGUGUUUCGGUUUGCGCUCUCGCAACACCAGGAAAUCCCUAAACUGGUACCUCAAGUGGAUAUGGUCAAAAUGGGGAAUAGCUUCUCCAUGACAUAUGCUUUCUGUUCGCAGUUCUCAAAAGGAGUAUACGCCAUCAUCGGCGUGUACGACAGGAAGACCGUCAACAUGUUGAUGUCGUUCUGCGGUGCGCUACACGUCUGCUUUGUGACGCCCAGCUUCCCCAUGGAAAACUCCAACCAGUUUGUCAUCCAGCUGAGACCUGAACUGCAAGACGCCCUGGUGGGCGUUAUCGAGCACUACAAGUGGUCCAAGUUCAUCUACAUGUACAGCUCGGACUCUGGACUGUCAGUUCUGCAGAAGGUUCUGGACACAGCAGCAGAGCAUAACUGGCUUGUGACCUCUGUGAAUGUGGAGACAAUGACAGAAGCAUCCUUCCUCAAAGUGUUCCAGGACCUGGACAAAAGGAAGGAGGGCCAGAUCAUCAUUGACUGUGAGCUGGAGAGACUCACCUCCAUCCUGAAGAAGAUCAUCGAGCUGGGGAAGAACGUGAAGAGUUACCACUACAUCCUAGCAAACCUGGGAUUUCUGGACAUCGACCUGACAGAGUUUAAGAAGGGUGAGGCGAAUGUAACAGGCUUCCAGCUAGUGAACUACGCAAACCCUAAUGUCAGUAGGACAGUGCAGCAGUGGAUGGACUUUGAAAACAAAGACUCCAAAGUUCCCAAGCGAGGACUGAAGUACACUGGAGCUCUCACAUAUGAUGGGGUCAAAGUCAUGUCCACAGCCUUCCAGAACCUCCGCAGGCAGAGGAUAGAUAUAUCUCGCCGUGGAAAUGCUGGAGAAUGUCUGGCCAACCCACCAGCACCUUGGGGCCAGGGCAUUGAUAUUCAGAGAGCACUUCAACAGGUUCGGAUUGAAGGCUUAACGGGACACAUUCAGUUUAACGAAAAAGGACGGAGGACAAACUACACUGUCAAUGUGAUGGAGCUCAGGCCGACGGGACCAAAGAAAGUGGGUUACUGGAAUGAGGAUGAGAAAUUUGUGAGCACGGCGGCCUACAUGCCAGGCAGUAAUGAUACUUCCGGACUACAGAACCGCACAUAUAUUGUUACCACUAUUCUGGAAUCGCCAUAUGUCAUGCUGAAGAAGAAUCACGAGCAGUUUACAGGAAAUGAUAAAUAUGAAGGUUACUGUGUGGAACUGGCAGCAGAGAUAGCCAAACAUGUGGGAUACCACUACAUGCUCAAGAUAGUGGCUGAUGGGAAAUAUGGAGCCAGAGAUCCUGAGACCAUGAUGUGGAAUGGGAUGGUGGGAGAGCUCGUCUAUGGUAAAGCUGACGUAGCUGUGGCCCCACUGACCAUAACCCUUGUCAGGGAGGAAGUCAUUGAUUUCUCCAAGCCUUUCAUGAGCCUCGGCAUCUCCAUCAUGAUCAAAAAGCCCACCAAGUCCAAGCCUGGUGUGUUCUCCUUCCUGGACCCUCUGGCCUAUGAGAUCUGGAUGUGUAUUGUGUUUGCCUACAUCGGUGUAAGCGUGGUGCUUUUCCUAGUCAGCCGCUUUAGUCCCUACGAGUGGCACGCAGAUGACUGUGAGGAUGGAGCUGAGCAGAACCCUAACCAGCCCUCCUCGUCAUCCGCCCAACCGGGUCAGGGCCAACAGAACCAGAACCAGCAGAGUCAGGAGCAGACCAAUGAGUUUGGCAUCUUCAACAGUCUCUGGUUCUCACUGGGAGCUUUCAUGCAGCAGGGCUGUGAUAUCUCCCCCAGGUCUCUCUCUGGCCGUAUCGUGGGUGGUGUGUGGUGGUUCUUCACUCUAAUCAUCAUCUCCUCAUACACAGCCAACCUAGCUGCUUUUCUCACAGUGGAGAGGAUGGUGUCACCCAUCGAGAGUGCAGAGGAUCUGGCUAAACAGACUGAGAUUGCUUAUGGGACUCUAGACGCCGGCUCCACCAAAGAGUUCUUUAGGAGGUCAAAGAUUGCGGUCUUUGAGAAGAUGUGGUCUUAUAUGAAAUCAGCAGACCCCUCAGUGUUUGUAAAAACCACAGAUGAAGGAGUUAUACGGGUGAGGAAGUCCAAGGGGAAGUAUGCCUAUCUUCUGGAGUCCACCAUGAAUGAGUACAUCGAGCAGCGCAAGCCCUGUGACACUAUGAAGGUUGGAGGGAACCUGGACUCCAAAGGCUACGGCAUCGCCACCCCCAAAGGAUCCCUUCUCAGAAACCCAGUAAACCUGGCAGUGUUAAAACUGAAUGAACAAGGCCUGUUGGACAAAUUGAAAAACAAAUGGUGGUACGACAAAGGAGAGUGUGGCAGCGGAGGAGGUGAUUCCAAGGUCAGCCCCAAUGUGACAAACCCAACGGGACAAGACCAGUGCUCUUAGCCUCAGCAAUGUGGCUGGGGUCUUCUACAUUCUGAUCGGCGGUCUGGGUCUGGCCAUGCUGGUGGCCCUGGUGGAGUUCUGCUACAAGUCCAGAACAGAGUCCCGCAGAAUGAAGCAAUCCAUCAACGACGCCAUGCGCUGCUCCACGCUGACCAGGAUGAGCGGGAACGGUAGCGGCGGGGAGAACGGGCGGAUCGUCACACAUGACUUCCCCAAAGCUGUGCAGACGCUGCCGUGCAUGAGCCACGCGGCCAGCAUGGGCCUGGGAGCCUCUGGCAUGUGACCAUCUUGACGGAGCGGCACGCGUCACAUGUAACGCACGGACCUCCCGUUCACCUGCCGUCUGCCCCUAUGUCUGUCUGCCCGCCCCGCAACAGACGCACCGUACUGCCAAAAUGCACUCGAAGACUCUUCUCAGUGAAUAGCCACCAAUAAAACUCUUUUCUAAAGAAAGACGAAACAUUUCAAAAAAGAAAAAAAAAAUGUGCUGCAAUAACAAGCCUGUGGAACUCUUUUGGGGAAAAAAAGUGUUCGUUUAUGUCAUGAAUUCAAAAAAACAAAAAAAGAGAAGUCACGUGUCCGAUUCGACACUCGCGCUGUGCCAAUAUUAUAAACCUGUUUACUUCUGUCUGAGUGUGCAAUAUUUUAGUUCAUAUCAGUGUUCGGCAAUGUUGUCUCUAACUUGAUUUUCUUUUCAAGGAUUAGCUCACAGAGAUGUUUUGUUUUUUGCACAGAUAUGUUCUACGAUAUGACAAAUACAGCAUUUCUGUAAGUUCCUUUUCCUUAUACUUACUAGAAAAGAGUUAGAGUAAGCUAAUGAGCAAGAUCUUACUCAUUUAUAUGGAUCCAGUGCCCCGUAAACAACUUUGCUUAUUUCUCUCCGUCACUCUGCGUGUUGAAGAAACAUAUCAGCUCAUUUAGCGACCUGUCGAUAGUGUAAAUACUCCGAUGUAAAUCUGAAACUGAGUGAGAGAUAAAUUGAUUUGUUGUCAUUCGGUAGAGCAUAGCUGAAAUUAACUUGUUGAUAAUCUUGCUCUGUGAUUUCCCAUCUCAUGGACCUUGCAUAGCUGCUACGCCUCGUUUCAGGCACCAUACCUCAUCAGAGACCUGGGAGUGAGCCGCCAUAUGUUUUGAUUGCCACUUCAUUGGGAGCUCUCCCAGGAAGGAGGAAAAUUUGACCUCAGUUAUGGGCAAAUGUGCUUAAAUGAGCUAGUUUUUGCCCACCACAAACCACCAGAUCUCAUUAAAGAGAAGCCAUUGAGUAUGCAUUAUGAGAAGUUAUUCGUCAAUGGUGGUGCUGUAACAAAAAAGGACUUGUGAUGAUACUUUGUUAAUGAUUCGUUCAUAUACAACAAGGCCUGCAUGGAAUAUUUCAGAGAUUUCCACCAAAUCCAAAUGCCCAUCGUUCAGUUUAUACACAUCCUCUGUCAGUAUUUGGCUAAUUUGAUAAUGCUAAGAUUGUAACACUCUCGGUUUUAUACAUCUGAAAUCCAUUCAACAGAUUGUCCCCCUCAAUCAGUGCAGAAAUUGUAAAACAUGAUAUGUGGGCCUAAAUGUGACAUGGCCAAUGAAAAUGAUCAUCAUUUGAUCACAUGAGGGUAAAUAAAUAAUGACAGAUUUUUUGUCUGUGAACAAAGUUUUCUGUUAAUAGAACAAACAAAGAAAAGAAAGCAGAUCAGCUAGGCCUACAAGAUCCAGACAGGCGAAACAGGCUGUUCUGUCCUAUACACACACUGUGCAACAAUGUUUGUGGAGAUAUCAUUGAUCGGCUUCUGGAGCCAAGCUGACCUUUCAGAGCUCUUGGCUUCAUCACUGCAGGCUUUCAGAACAUGGCUUCCAGCUCAACAUAAACAGCUCUACCUAUUCAGCCUUCCCCUGCACACUGCCAUUGUACCGUGAAACAUGACACACUGUGUGGCCAUCGAAACUCUUAUAUUUCUCUGGCUUUUUCUUUCCAUUUCCUUGACGUGUUUUAUUAGGCACAGAACACUGCGGUCCUUUAUGGCCUCAUGUGAGAGCAGUAUUUUAUAAGCAGUAAAAGAUUUGUAAAGUUCAAGUGAGACAUUUAACAUUUAUACUGCUGUGAGAUUUUGAAGAGUUGAUUGAACUAGUGUUUUACACAUUGUUGAUGCAAUGUUACAUGAUAAUGAUGGAUAUUCUCACUGAUAAGGAUGAUGAUUUUGAUUAGCGAAGAGAGAAAUCUGGUCUUUAAGAGUCUUUGUGUUUCUGCUAUAACAAUGAUGAUACUUCUUAUUUUUGGGGUAUUUUAAUGCAAAAUUUUUCUUCACGCUCACCUACUUCUUGACUAUUCCACAAACGUUAGCAUUUUAUUUGGGAUCUUAUUGUUUUUGUUUGUUUUGUUUUGUAUUGUUUAUCAUAAAGGAGAGAUGUGGUUGAAAUUUUACUGGAAAAUACAUUCAAUAAAUAAUGAAUAAAACUUUUCUAACCACAA